rnacentral:rRNA from 1 species
GAGUUUGAUCUUGGCUCAGGAUGAACGCUAGCGGCGCGCCUAAUGCAUGCAAGUCGAGCGAUGAGGCACCUUUGGGUGUACAUCAGCGGCAGACGGGUGAGUAACACGUAGGUGACCUACCCCGAAGACGGGGGAUAACAGGUGGAAACAUCUGCUAAUACCCGAUGGGCUCUGAGCGGAAGCGAGGAGUAAAGGCUACGGUGCUUCGGGAGGGGCCUGCGGCCUAUCAGCUAGUUGGUAGGGUAACGGCCUACCAAGGCGAAGACGGGUAGGGGGUGUGAGAACACGGCCCCCCACAAUGGGACUGAGACACGGCCCAUACUCCUACGGGAGGGCAGCAGCAGGGAAUAUUGCGCAAUGGGCGGAAGCCUGACGCAGCGACGCCGCGUGGAUG